UGUAGGUACCAAUAUUAAAAAAGAUUACAACUAAUUGAUCACAACCAGUUACAGAUCCCUUUGUUCCUUCUGCACUCCCACUGCUUCACUUGACUAGCCUAAA
ensembl:misc_RNA Y_RNA Y RNA